UACGGAGGGUGCGAGCGUUGUCCGGAAUCACUGGGCGUAAAGGGUGCGUAGGCGGGUCUUUAAGUCAGGGGUGAAAUCCUGGAGCUCAACUCCAGAACUGCCUUUGAUACUGAAGAUCUUGAGUCCGGGAGAGGUGAGUGGAACUGCGAGUGUAGAGGUGAAAUUCGUAGAUAUUCGCAAGAACACCAGUGGCGAAGGCGGCUCACUGGCCCGGUACUGACGCUGAGGCACGAAAGCGUGGGGAGCAAACAGG
rnacentral:rRNA from 1 species